CUGUGAGGGCGUCACCUCCCUCGACUCUCGCUCUGCGUUCCUUGACUUUUUUUGGUCUGGCUCGGUUUUUGUUUCGAGCCAGGUGCACAACAGAUAAUACAAAACCUUGUAAGAGCCUGAAAAUUACAGAGUUGAUGACAGGGGAAACCACUUCUCUCUGAAGAUGAAAUCUCUGGAAUGUGACCUUAUGGUUGAAACUGUAGCAGCCAACCUGUGUCCAUGAGGGAAAUAUCAAGGGAAUUCAAAGGCUCUGGAGUUAACUAAACCAGAAACAACAACUGCAUGCAUCUGGACUUCCCAUUAUGUGGGGAAAAGGGGAAGUCAGCUGCCAUGUUGAGAGGAUACUCAGGCAACCUGUGGAGAAGUGAGACUGAGGUCUCCUGCCGACAUCCAUGCAUGUGA
rnacentral:lncRNA from 1 species